AUGAGUGGUGAAGGGUACCAAGCCGUUAUCGGCGGCUUACUUGCUAGAAGGGGGUUGGUAUAUAGCCGUUUGCAGGUGAAGAACCAGAUAAUCGUACUCAAAAACACUUACACUUUCUGGCGAUACAUGCAAGUGCAUAUAGGGUUGGGGAGGAAACCAGAUGGAACCAUUGAUGCCGACUCUGAGUUCUGGAUAACACACACAGAGAAGAAACCAUACCUACGGAAGCUACAGUGGGGUCCUCCAGCAAACGAAGAGUUGCUUGAUCAACUGUUCAGAGGUUACACUGUGGAUGGAAGCACAGCCUUUGUGCCUGGAGAUGAUUACGGUCAGAAUCAAGGGCAAGAUUUAGGUGCAGGAGAGGAAGAGGAGGAGUUUCAAGGAACACCUACAAGCAACCAGAGGAGCCAGAGAUGCAAGAGGUCAACAAGCACUUCGAGCACUUUGACCAGUCCAUUGAAGAAGAGCAAGAGCCCAAUGGUGAAGAUUGUGAAGGACAUAGCUAGUACAUUCAAGGAGUCUGUCGCAGCCAACACUAAGCAAAUGCAGAAACGUGCAAAUGAGAAGGCUGCAUUUUCUGUGAAGAGGUGUGAGGGGCUAGCAUUUGAGUGUGGCAUUGAGCAAACAAUUGACUCUGUCUAUGCUCUGUCCAAGAUGUUCGAAACAGAGUAUCAAAGGGAGUUCUUCUGUGGCCUAUUAACACAUGAGCUUAGGUUGGGUUACUUCAAGAAAUGGUGCAGGGACAACAAUUUGGAGUAG
rnacentral:rRNA from 1 species